AUGCGCCCGACAGGAUUCGAACCUGAGACCUUUGCCUUCGGAGGGCAGUGCUCUAUCCAUCUGAGCUACGGACGCA
rnacentral:tRNA from 1 species